ACUCCUACGGGAGGCAGCAGCAGGGAAUCUUGCGCAAUGGGCGAAAGCCUGACGCAGCAACGCCGCGUGGGGAUGAAGGCCUUCGGGUUGUAAACCCUUCAGGUAGGGAAGGAAUGACGUACUCCAAAGAAGGACGGCCAACUACGUGCCAGCAGCCGCGGUAAUACGUAGGGUCCGAGCGUUAUCCGGAAUCAUUGGGCGUAAAGAGCUCGUAGGCGGUUCAGCAAGUCGGCUGUGAAAGUCCGAGGCUCAACCUCGGAAUUGCAGUCGAUACUGCUGUGACUCGAGUCCGGUAGAGGAGAAUGGAAUUCCCGGUGUAGCGGUGAAAUGCGCAGAUAUCGGGAGGAACACCAGUAGCGAAGGCGGUUCUCUGGGCCGGCACUGACGCUGAGGAGCGAAAGCGUGGGGAGCAAACAGGAUUAGAUACCCUGGUAGCGAG
rnacentral:rRNA from 1 species